rnacentral:rRNA from 1 species
UUGGAGGGCAAGUCUGGUGCCAGCAGCCGCGGUAAUUCCAGCUCCAAUAGCGUAUAUUAAAGUUGUUGCAGUUAAAAAGCUCGUAGCUGAAUUUCGGGGUUAGUAGGCUGGUCAUGCCACAGGUAUGCACUGGUCUUACUGAUUCCUCCUUCCUGAUGAACCGUAAUGCCAUUAAUUUGGUGUUGCGGGGAGUCUGGACUGUUACUUUGAAAAAAUUAGAGUGUUUAAAGCAGGCUAACGCUUGAAUACAUUAGCAUGGAAUAACGAAAUAGGACGUUCGAUCUUAUUUUGUUGGUUUCUAGGAUUGACGUAAUGAUUAAUAGGGAUAGUUGGGGGCAUUAGUAUUCAAUUGUCAGAGGUGAAAUUCUUGGAUUUAUUGAAGACUAACUACUGCGAAAGCAUUUGCCAAGGAUGUUUUCAUUAAUCAAGAACGAAAGUUAGAGGAUCGAAGACGAUCAGAUACCGUCGUAGUCUUAACCAUAAACUAUGCCGACUAGGGAUCGGAUGAUGUUAAUUUUAUAAUGACUCAUUCGGCGCCUUACGGGAAAC